GACAGAGGUGCCAAGCGUUAUCCGGAUUCACUGGGUUUAAAGGGUGCGUAGGCGGGUAGAUAAGUCAGUGGUGAAAUCUCCGAGCUUAACUCGGAAACUGCCAUUGAUACUAUUUAUCUUGAAUAUUGUGGAGGUAAGCGGAAUAUGUCAUGUAGCGGUGAAAUGCUUAGAUAUGACAUAGGACACCAAUUGCGAAGGCAGCUUACUACGCAGUUAUUGACGCUGAGGCACGAAAGCGUGGGGAUCAAACAGG
rnacentral:rRNA from 1 species